rnacentral:pre_miRNA from 1 species
GUAGUAUUCCCUCCGUCCCAAAAUUCUUGUCUUAGAUUUGUUUAGAUACGGAUGUAUCUAACACUAAAAUGUAACUAGAUACAUCCGUAUUUAGACAAAUUUAAGACAAGAAUUUUGGGACGGAGGGAGUACGAA